GACGAACGCUGGCGGCGUGCCUAAUACAUGCAAGUAGGCCGCCGUUGCGAACGGGUGAGUAACGCGUAGGUAACUGCCCAUUAGAGGGGGAUAUCUAUUGGACACGAUAGCUAAUACCGCAUACUAGUUGAUGGACCUGCGUGUGAUUAGCUAGUAGGUAGGGUAAUGGCCUACCUAGGCGACGAUACAUAGCCGACGUGAGAGGGGGAUCGGCCACACGGGGACUGAGACACGGACCAGACUCCUACGGGAGGCAGCAGUAGGGAAUCUGCGGCAAUGGGGGGAACCCGGACCGAGCAACGCGGCGUGAGUGAAGAAGGUUUUCGGAUCGUAAAGCUCUGUUGUUAAGGAAGCGGUACUUAACCAGAAAGGGACGGCUAACUACGUGCCAGCAGCCGCGGUAAUAC
rnacentral:rRNA from 1 species